GCGCCCGUAGCUCAGCAGGAUAGAGCAUCGGUUUCCUAAACCGAAGGUCGCCGGUUCGAGUCCGGCCGGGCGUA
rnacentral:tRNA from 1 species